GAUGAAGAACGCAGCGAAAUGCGAUAAGUAAUGUGAAUUGCAGAAUUCAGUGAAUCAUCGAAUCUUUGAACGCACAUUGCGCCCCCUGGUAUUCCGGGGGGCAUGCCUGUCCGAGCGUCAUUACAACCCUCAAGCUCAGCUUGGUGUUGGGCCCCGCCGCCCCGGCGGGCCCUAAAGUCAGUGGCGGUGCCGUCCGGCUCCGAGCGUAGUAAUUCUUCUCGCUCUGGAGGUCCGGUCGUGUGCUCGCCAGCAACCCCCAAUUUUUUUCAGGUUGACCUCGGAUCAGGUAGGGAUACCCGCUGAACAUAAGCAUAUCAAUAAGCGGAGUA
rnacentral:misc_RNA from 1 species